rnacentral:rRNA from 1 species
UACAGAGGGGGCAAGCGUUAUUCGGAAUUAUUGGGCGUAAAGGGCGCGUAGGCGGCCUGGCAAGUGGAAGGUGAAAUCCCUCGGCUUAACCGAGGAACUGCCCUCCAAACUGCUUGGCUUGAGUCCGGGAGAGGUGAGUGGAAUUCCCAGUGUAGAGGUGAAAUUCGUAGAUAUUGGGAAGAACACCGGUGGCGAAGGCGGCGCUCUGGACCGAGACUGACGCUGAGGCGCGAAAGCGUGGGGAG